GAAAUGAGCUGUUGCUAAGGAUGCUUCUGGAUCAGCUGAAGUGAAGAAUAUAUGCAUGUGAAGCUUCACUUGUUAUGUUCAUCAGGCUUAGCAUACAAUAUGCCACCAAAAAAAACAUCAUGAAUUUGAAACAUAAAAACACAUAAAUAACUUAAGAAAGAUACAACAAUGCAUUAUUUUUAGGAGUUAUAGGCAAAUAUUUUCACAAAGAUUGGAGAAAAAACACCAGUUUAGAAAAAAUGGCAAACAGGAAAACAGGAAAAGACUCUUCAAUGAAUACAUGACACAUUGAAUUAUUCUCCUAGUUAUUGCUAUUUCAGUGUCUGGUGCAAGUAAGGCAAAAUAACUCAAAGCUAAAUCAAGAGCUAACUACAAAUGCUGAAUGGUGGCAGGUGCGCAGCUACAAGAACUUAAACACAUUCAACAACUUUGGGAUACAAGCUGCUGCUGAGUGAAUUAAUGCAUUUAUAUUGAACUUUGUUAUGACUAAAACAUUCCCAGUGCUUACAGAAGCAGGCAACGCUCUCUGAAUGGGAGGUCUAUUAUAGGUAAGUUGGGCAUUACAACCAAUACAGCAAUGAUGUUGAAGGCAGCUUGCAUGAUAUGAACCAGAUGCUAUCCGGUCUGCCAGAUUCUGGCUUCUUACACAGUCUUUGGAGAGAAGUAGUCAUGAUAUCUAUAUUAGACACUUGGCACUGGAUUAACUGCAUAUGUACAGACUGGCAGUACUCCACAUGCAUAUGGUUGAGUUCAAGAAGGUAGGCAUUGGCUACCUCUGUGUUGUCUUGAAUAGAUUUGCUAGACCGUGCUCUAGCAAUGUCCACCCUACAUGCUAUGUGCCUGUCUGAGGAUUUGGUCAAAAACAUGAAGAACACCAGCACAUGGAUUAGAGGCAAUCCAAGAGGCCAGCUGUGGCAUGAAGACUGGGAUCCCCUGCAGUACGAACAAUCUUCCUAACAUAAAUGCUUCUGAACUUUUUGAACAACAAAGCAGGCAUUUCAGUCCAUUUAUCUUCUCAUUCUCCAGAAUUUUUCCAGUUCCUCUUCAGUCUUCCUAAUGCUGAACAGCUUCAUGACUGCCUCACACCUACACCAGAACAAGAUAUCCCUCUCCUUGUUAUCAGCAGAAAGGCUCCAUCUCACUGGCAAUCUCAGCACCAACUUGCCCCGCAGAUGUCUUUCCGAAGCACAGCUGCCAGGGAAGGACAUACACAUGGCACCUUUUUCUAUGUUCUUCUUAAUCAAGUCUCAGACUUUAGAGAACGAUGUUGGAGAAAGUUAUCUCCAUUGUUUGGGAACAGUCACAUACAGAGUGCUUUCUGAAUAGUAGUGUGGCAUGUCGGGAUUCUACUUCAAGAGACAACACUUUGUAAAACUUCUCAGUACUGCUGGGUGUAAGCCUGUGUUCAAAGACUACAUCUCAAACAUUGCUGCAUCAUGUUAUUUGAACCUACUCUUAAUACAGACACUUCUGAUCAAGAUAAACCUUGAAAAUAUUUUUCCAGUCUAUUGUGUUUCACAAAAGCUAAAGAAGCUCCUGAAAAAACAAACAAACAAACAAACAAAAAAACGUUGCAUUAUUAACAUCCAUACCCAGAGGGUACAGGGAGGAAGGAAGAGGCCUGACUAGUGUGUCUAUUCCUAUAUCAUCCUAGAUAUAAACUAUGUUGUAAGUCAAGUGUUGUUGCAGAGAUCUCCUUUUUAUUUCCUUUUUUUUCUUUUUUAAAGAAAGGGAAAGCACUCUCCAUCUCUCCACAAUUAAUGAUGAGACUAAAAAUAUCAGUUUCAUAUAUGCACUAGUAAAUAAUUCACUUCUACAGCAACAUCAGUCGGUGAGCAAUCUCUGCAAUUUGUCUGUUCUCUGGAGACUCUCAAGGAAAAAUCUCUGCUCAGCUGGAGUGACUGUGGCAGGUAACUGCCUCAUAUUGAUCUGCAUUGCCUCAAUAUCCACCUAAGGGCCUAAGAGUACAAUUUUCCGUUCUUUGUGGUUUGGAGCUAUUGCAGCAAAACCUCUGUUUAAGCAGACUAACUGACUGUGGUACUUUCAGAUGGAAGACAGUUAACUGUGAUUCUGUCUACAGGCUCCUUUGUAACACCUAAGUCACUUACGUGUGUAGUGACUGGAAAUUAAGUACCUGAAGUACCUAAUGUUGCCCUAACUGCAUUGAAUUCAGUCACAGGACAGAAGGGAUGACUGAAAAGACAUUUUCUCUCCAAAACAGGAUCAGAAUGGGAUAUUAAGGACUUG
rnacentral:lncRNA from 1 species